UUGAUGAUGAGGAUGAUAAUGAAGAAUGUUAUGAGAUAGAUGAAAAUUAUGUUGAAGAUGCUGAUGAAGAUAUGGAAGGAGACAACCCUGAAAAUUUGGAAGAAGAAGACAAUUAUAUAGAUUUCUCCAAAAAGUAUGAUGAUUAUGCAGAUGAAUACGAGCCAGAUAAAAGUGACUUCCAAUACUUGGGUUGAAAUAUUGUUUCUUAUAAUUGGUGAGAGGUGUCAAACAUGUCCUUGAAUUUCUAACAAUUUAGUAUUGAUGCACUGCAUUGAUUUUACUUAUGGAAUAUGUUAAAUUUUCUUAUUCUAGAUCAAGAAUUUAAUGGCGCCAGAAAUAACCUUCUUUUUCCCUCCCUGCAAAGGUAGCGUAAGGGAGAGAUUAAGGAAUUGAUAUGAUUGGCCCCAGAUAAUUGGAACAUAGAAAGAAAUAUGAAAGGGGGUGUUUUUUUUUUUUUUUUUUUUUUUUUUUUUUUUUUUUUUUUUUUUU